ACUUGUACCUGUCUGUGCACAAAGCCCUUGGACCACGAGAAAUGCAGGGAAUGCUCUGUGAUGAGUUAUCUGUGAGUCUGCAGUGCUUCAAAAAACACAAGGAGGACGCGAGAUGCCCCCUACAGUACUGCAGAGGACAGGCUUGUCUGCUGGGAACAUCCAGGCACAGGACGCAGGAGAGGGAUUUUUCAGAGGCAACCAGCCUUUGAUAAAAAAGUAAAUUCAGUGCCAGAAGGUAUUGCACACUUCAACUUUGAUCCAUCAAAACUUAAGACCUUUUUUAGGAGGAAAUUAAAGCAAGCUCCAAAUAUGUCUAUGCAGUGCUGUUUUCUGCGGAGUGACUUUACCGGGGAAGAAGGAAAGAGGAAAAUGCCUAUCCUAACACACACUGCAGAAAUUCAAGAUAAAUUCUCAGAUUGUGGCUCAAGGCCUGGAAUUUCACUGCUUUAAAAAUAAAAACUCACAGAAAUAUGCAGAAACAAGGGAUUGUAUUAUAUAUAAUUUUAUAGUAGAAGAGCAUUAUAAACCUCAGAGCAUCUCUGCAUGCCUGGAACAUUAACACGACCAUGUUCCUUAUGUAUUUCAGAAAUGUAAUCUGAGUUUACUAAAAAAAACCCCAAAACCCUUAAACAACCCACACGAGUAAGUGAUUUCUCUUAUUUUUCCUACCUUUGUUACUGGUUAAUCACCUGAUUGUGAGACUCCAUUCACCUGACAAUAAGUAGCUAUCAUUUACCCCAGUCCUGGCUGUCAGAAAGAAUUAUCUUUAUCUUCAGAGAAGCAGGGAUAAUGUCUGAUCAGUGAGUUAUAGUUGAGAGAAAUGAUUCUAAGUUUAGGAAAAUUGCCAGCUGCAUUUUGUUAUCAGUAACCAUUAUUUAGAUAGCAUUGCUGAUGUGUGUAGCGCCAUACAGACAGGGACAAAGAGCAGGCCCUUGCCCUGUGGAGCUUGCUGUCUGUAUUACACAAUUAAAAUAGGGAGAGGUACUAGCAUAAUGGUAAUGGUGAGCUCUAAGCAUCACAGUGGGAGGGAGAAGAGAUUACAAGAAAAAGACAAACUUCCUGUGAGAGAGCGCUACUGCAUCAUCCCUCCAUUGUCCUUUUAGACUCAGCUCUGCCAGAGGGCUUUGUUGGUUCAAAAUACAGUCUGUACAGAAAAGGGAACUAAUAAUUCCAGUCAAAGUCAGUAGAAACCAGCCUAUGUGCUUAUAAGAGAGAGGUGGAGGAUGUUGACUGGUGAGGGUUGGGUGCUGUGGUGUGGAAAGACACACAAGUGAUGCCGUGGCAAGCUGGUGGUUGUGUCACACAAUCUCACAAGGCUCUGCAGGGCAUGGAAAGACUCAAGGCUCCUAACCUGGAGUACUCAGAGUUACCAUGGAGGCUGGGCUUCUUCCUCUGUACUUCAGGAUGCAAAGAACACCUUAAGAUGCUGUUUGAACCCACUACCACCUCCUAAAAACAAGAUUCCAGGUGCCACCUUCAAAGACACAAAAUUUCUCCUUUGGUGCAUGAUGUCUUACACCCAUGGUCUAAUAAACAGUUUUAUUAUGAGGUCAGUUUGUGUACUGCUCUUUUCUUUCAAGGCAAUCAUGCUGAAAAUUAAUCUGACUAUAAACACAAAAGCACCGACUUAGCUGAGCUGCAUACAUAAACCAAAGUGAAGUCAAUACUCAGAAAUCCAGCCUACACUAACACUAAUCCUAACUCUCUCUCUUUAACUACAUCAAAAAAAUGAUUUUUUGAUGGCUAUUAAUAUUACUGUAUUUUUCCUCUGUUGACCUGCAGUUAUUAGCAGGAACCAACCAUAUUGGAGCAGAGAUGACUCCAUCUAAUACAAACAAUGAAUACAUUCAUUACUGCACUGAUCUUCUGAACAGGAGGCACCUUCUUUUUUCUAGUAUUCCAUUUUGCUUCUGCUACUUAAUAAAGUAAAACAGAACAUGUAUUCCCCCGAACUUAUUUCUCUAGACAUUUGUAAGGCUGGUGCAGAAAAUGGAGCCUACCUGGUAAUAUCUUCUCAGUCAUAUAAAGUAAAACUGAUUAAGAGAAAAACAUUCUUUAAGUUCCUAGAAAACACUGUUGGCUUCUUCAAUUUAUGAUCAAAAAGAUCCUAGGAAAAACAUGUCCAGUCUUUAAUGACACUAGGAAAUUGAAAUAACCAAAAUGGGAUGUGAUCGGUCUUUUGACUUGAGGUGUCACCAUUACCUGCUUUGGCUGCUGAAACAUCGUCUGGCUCCUAAUGGCUUCUAACAUUGUGUUCCUACCUACAUU